rnacentral:rRNA from 1 species
AACGAACGCUGGCGGCGCGUCUUAAACAUGCAAGUCGAACGAUCUGUAGCAAUACAGGGAGUGGCGGACGGGUGAGGAACACGUAGGAAUCUACCUUGAAGAGCGGGACGACUUUGGGAAACCGGGGCUAAUACCGCAUAGUACAGAGAUGUUAAAGGGCUAGCAAUAGUCGCUUCGAGAUGAGCCUGCGGUCUAUCAGCUUGUUGGUGAGGUAAUGGCUCACCAAGGCUACGACGGAUAGCCGGUCUGAGAGGAUGAUCGGCCACACUGGCACUGAGACACGGGCCAGACUCCUACGGGAGGCAGCAGUUAAGAAUCUUGCGCAAUGGGGGAAACCCUGACGCAGCGACGCCACGUGAAGGAUGAAGGCUUUCGGGUUGUAAACUUCGGUAGACUGGGAAGAAGAAAUACGUUCGUUGAGGGCGUAUAGUGACGGUACCAGUCUGAAGCCCCGGCUAAUUACGUGCCAGCAGCCGCGGUAAU